GAGCAGAUAAUGUGUGACGAGUUUAUCAAUUCCGUCGUUAUUGAAUGUUUUGCCGGAUUUGAAACGCAUUUUAACGCGUUUAAUGUCAUAUGUCGUAUAGUUUGGGGAUCGAUAACAUGCGUUAGUCAUUACUCACCCAGCGGAUCGCGAUAAAUCACAGAAGAAAUUAACGAGCGGCGAAGAUGACACUUGGUCCCCUCCUCAUCUCGUCCUUUUCCUUCGCCGUUUCUACCCCCACCGGUGAAAUAUGGCCGGCAACUUUUCUCAUACUUGAGAGUUUUCCUGAGCGGCGCGGCGCAUCCCACGUACCAUAUCGUUCUAGAGGACGAGGAGGCGAGGGCAAGAGCAGGGGGAAGUUAUCAAGUGCUCCUUGCGGGAUGAGUGCUAUAAGGUAACACUACGAGGGAAGGAAAAGAGCGAUACACCUCUUCGUAAUGUUGGCAUAAAGAACGAUCGAGAGGACUUUCCAUAUACAUAUCAUUAGUUUCCUUCGUGAUUGUCUCUUUCGAAAAUUAUUAUUCUCACAUCGCUAUUAUAAUAAAAUCAAGAGAAAAUGUG